GACGAACGCUGGCGGCGUGCUUAACACAUGCAAGUCGAACGGUAAGGCUCCAGCUUGCUGGGGUACACGAGUGGCGAACGGGUGAGUAACACGUGGGUGACCUGCCCUGCACUUCGGGAUAAGCCUGGGAAACUGGGUCUAAUACCGGAUAGGACCGCACCGUGAGGGUGUGGUGGAAAGUUUUUUCGGUGUGGGAUGGGCCCGCGGCCUAUCAGCUUGUUGGUGGGGUAAUGGCCUACCAAGGCGGCGACGGGUAGCCGGCCUGAGAGGGUGGACGGCCACAUUGGGACUGAGACACGGCCCAGACUCCUACGGGAGGCAGCAGUGGGGAAUAUUGCACAAUGGGCGGAAGCCUGAUGCAGCGACGCCGCGUGGGGGAUGACGGCCUUCGGGUUGUAAACUCCUUUCACCAUCGACGAAGGGUUUCUGACGGUAGAUGGAGAAGAAGCACCGGCUAACUACGUGCCAGCAGCCGCGGUAAUACGUAGGGUGCGAGCGUUGUCCGGAAUUACUGGGCGUAAAGAGCUCGUAGGUGGUUUGUCGCGUCGUCUGUGAAAUUCCGGGGCUUAACUCCGGGCGUGCAGGCGAUACGGGCAUAACUUGAGUACUGUAGGGGAGACUGGAAUUCCUGGUGUAGCGGUGAAAUGCGCAGAUAUCAGGAGGAACACCGGUGGCGAAGGCGGGUCUCUGGGCAGUAACUGACGCUGAGGAGCGAAAGCAUGGGGAGCGAACAGGAUUAGAUACCCUGGUAGUCCAUGCCGUAAACGGUGGGCGCUAGGUGUGGGUUUCCUUCCACGGGAUCCGUGCCGUAGCUAACGCAUUAAGCGCCCCGCCUGGGGAGUACGGCCGCAAGGCUAAAACUCAAAGGAAUUGACGGGGGCCCGCACAAGCGGCGGAGCAUGUGGAUUAAUUCGAUGCAACGCGAAGAACCUUACCUGGGCUUGACAUAUACAGGAUCGCGCCAGAGAUGGUGUUUCCCUUGUGGCUUGUAUACAGGUGGUGCAUGGUUGUCGUCAGCUCGUGUCGUGAGAUGUUGGGUUAAGUCCCGCAACGAGCGCAACCCUUGUCUUAUGUUGCCAGCACGUUGUGGUGGGGACUCGUAAGAAACUGCCGGGGUUAACUCGGAGGAAGGUGGGGAUGACGUCAAAUCAUCAUGCCCCCUAUGUCCAGGGCUUCACACAUGCUACAAUGGUCGGUACAGUGGGUCGCCAGUCCGUGAGGGCGAGCUAAUCCCGCAAAGCCGGUCUCAGUUCGGAUCGGGGUCUGCAACUCGACCCCGUGAAGUCGGAGUCGCUAGUAAUCGCAGAUCAGCAACGCUGCGGUGAAUACGUUCCCGGGCCU
rnacentral:rRNA from 1 species